rnacentral:rRNA from 1 species
CAGUAGCCGCGGGAAUACGGAGGGGGCUAGCGUUGUCCGGAAUUAUUGGGCGUAAAGGGCUCGCAGGCGGUUUCUUAAGUCUGAUGUGAAAACCCCCGGCUCAACCGGGGAGGGUCAUUGGAAACUGGGAAACUUGAGUGCAGAAGAGGAGAGUGGAAUUCCACGUGUAGCGGUGAAAUGCGUAGAGAUGUGGAGGAACACCAGUGGCGAAGGCGACUCUCUGGUCUGUAACUGACGCUGAGGAGCGAAAGCGUGGGGAGCGAACAGGAUUAGAUACCCCGGUAGUCCCUGUCUCUUAUAC